GUGAGACUGGCUAAUUUUUGUAUUUUUGGUAGAGAUGGGAUUUCACCACGUUGCCAAGGCUGGUCUCGAACUCCUGGGCUCAAGCAAACCACCUGCCUUGGGCUUCCCAAAGUGAGUCACCAUGCCUGGCCAAGAUUUCUCAUUUUUUAGGGAUUCUUUCCUAGGCAAAACAUUUGCAUGUGCUCAAUUUAUAGCCUAGAAUUACCGGUAAGAUUACAGUUAGGCAAAAGUCAAAAUUCAAUUUCUAAUUUUAAAGGGCUUUUCACAUAGCCAAUUGGUAAUUUAAGGUUCCAAUUAAUUCUGAAAGACAGCAUCCACUUCCCUUAUGGAAAACCAAGAUCUCUUCCACAUUGGGCACCAGUGCAUAAGUCUGUUCUUUAAUACAUAUUUCUGUGGUCUUCCAUCAAAUAAAGUUUGAACAUUGCAGGGAAAAUCCAAUGUUUCAUUAGAGUGUAGGUCCCACCAUAAAAUUUCUGAGGUUGAUGACAGUCUCUUGGGUUUAUUUUCUUUGCCUUUCCUCUACCAAUAGAUUUCUUCUCCAGUCUCAAAGCUUUGGAGUCACUACUAGUGUUUAUGGCCAUUGUUAAUGACCUUUUUAAAGGAAAAGAAUUGAGAUUGAUUUUCCUUCUGGGACCAAGACAUAUCAUCUAAAAUGUUUUCUGACCCUCUGAUCUCAGAGUUGUACCUGCCGUUUUGAGUGUGUUUGUGUGGCAUGGGGGUUGGGGUUGGGAAAUAUAUAGCAUUUGCCAUCUGCUAGAGGAGCAAAGAUUUGCAGAGUGGAAAAGAGGAGGUGCGAGGAGGUAGAACUGCAGAAACUUGCUUCCCCAGAAGUUCAUGUAUAGGAAAGCCAAGUUAAUGCCACAUAUUUGGAAAAGGUGAUCCCCUAUGUAUAGUUUUCUCUGAUAGGUUUUUUAAAAACCCAGACAAAGUGGAAAUGUCUGACUAUGAAAACUUGGUGAUCUCUACAAUAUAAGGAUUUCACUUCCCUUUGAGGAGGAAGGGAAUGAUUUUAUAACCUCAGACUUCUCUGACUUAACAAAUAGGGACUUAGUAUCAAAUAUGUCUGGUAAAUGCUGAUGUUCUACCUCUCUAAUGCCCAUAGGAAUAUGGAAAGAGAAAUUCUGCUGUGAGAAAUUCAUAGAACUACCUGGCAGAAAAGGAAGGGUGAUAUUGCCUCCCAGGGAACAUUUGGCAACGUCUGAAGAUAUUUUUCACUGUCACAACCGAGGGGAUUCACAGUCUGGUGAGACAAGUUUGAGAUCUCAUAUUUUCAGCUCAUCCUUGAAAACCUUUCUUCGAUUUGACUGACCUUGAUGGCUCCCUGGAAUCUCACCUACAUUUUAUGGGAAAUUCAACUCUCCAGAGAGAAGAGCUUUCAGAUAGCUGCGGGACUUGCAACUGUGACUUUCAGCUUUCGCUUUUGAAUGAGGCUCCAAAUGUCUCAAUGGUGGCACUAUUUCCAGAUUUGGGAGCCCUGCAAAGCUAAUCUGCUCAACCUUCACCUACUGGGUUCAAUGAAUAUGAAAAGCUGCCUUCCUGAAACUUUUCCUUCAAAGAGGGAAUGAUCUCCUGGAAUUCAAGCUUCUACAAGGUGGCUACCUGGUGUUUUCCACUUUUGCCGUCUCCUAAAAAGCAUCAUUCAAGCCUUGCCCUUUCAACCCACUGAACACAUAAACAUGCUUUCUCCUUAACUGAACUUAUGGCCACGAUGAACUUGAACUCUGAGAUUCACAGAGGAGAGUUUGUUUUAACAGCUGCUUUUACAAUGAAGCCCUGGAGUUACUACUCUCAAGACCCCUGGUUCUGAUAGGCCAUCUUUUCACUGUCCUCUGCAUUUUCUAAUGCCCAGCUGUCAAGGAACACCCACUGAAGUUUUCCAAAACAAAGGCACGAAACACAAGAAAGGCAAGAGAAUGCUAAUCACCAGAUGCAUGGGCAUCCUAUGGGGGAACCCCUUACAUGUGGAAUACGGUUUUUCUCCCCAAUUUAUUUUUAUAAAUUUAUUGAUUUCUUUGCUAGUUUGUUAUUAAUUGUUAGAGAUGUCCUGUUGCCUGAGGUUGCCCUGUCCGAUAUGGUAGCCACCAGCGACAGGUAGCUAUUUAGAGUAAUUUAAAAAUUACAUUAAAAAUGCAGUUUCCUUGUCACUUAACCAUGUUUCAAGUGCUCAGUAUUAACCACAUGUGACUAGUGGCUUCCAUAAAGGAAGGCAAAAAUAGAGAACAUUUACAUCGCUGCAGAAAGCUACUAGAUUUUUUUGGCCAAGGCAUAAGCUCUUUCUCAUAAGAGAAAGGGGAUGCAGAUCUUGCUAAGAGUGAUGGAUUUCUGGGUUCAGCCUACAUGAGUCAUCUUCCAUACUACCCCUGGACAUGCUUUCCUUGGCUGCCAAUUUUCUAUUUUAUAAAUUUCAGGAAAGAGAGAUUAUGGUUGUUAAAACCAUUCAUGACAAUGAUCCCACUUUAGAGAAAACAACAGCAACAAGCAAAGAAGAUGGUGUGGAGAUCCGCACAUUCCACAUCUUUUAAUUGGUACCCAUUAAAUAACAAAGGGAAAAAGUACCCUCAGACCACAACUCUCCACCUUGUGUGGAGGCCAAGGACCCAGCAGGGAGAAGGCAGAAGAUUAGGUUCUCCACUCAUCCUGGCUCUCAGACCACUGAACUCACAUUUGGGUUCUAAUGGAAUGGUGAUUGGAAGCAUAUUCUCCAAUAGGAGGUUUUUAAAAGUUCUGUGCCAUCAGCCAGGCAGCAUCUGUCAUUUAAAAUGACUGGCCAGUUGCACGUUUAAAAGCAAAGAUAAAAUUGCUAAUUUAUACUUACUGAAUAAACAUCAGCAGUAUCCAUGAAGGUACCUACCCUAAUAGCAAGUUGUAUUUUUAUUUUUAUGGUGGUGGCGAAGCUGCCAGGAAAACCAAAGCAUCAGUUCUUUAAUUACAUUUGUUUAGUAUUGAUUUAAUACUAAAAUUUCUCUUGCUCCCUUAGAACAAAGAGCUCUAACUUGUACACUGCUGUAUCCUUAGCACCUGGAACAGUCCCUGGCCUACAAUAGGCACUUAGAAAGUAUUUGUUAAAAAUUGAUUUUUUUUUUUUAAAGAAACAACCCAGAGUUUUUUUAUUCUGCCCCAACCCCCAACCCCUGGCAUUAAAAUAAAUCUUCCUCAACUGCCAUCACUAAUCGCCAGGAUUCCCUCCUAGCCAAUUAUGCUUGGACUCAACCUCUACCUCCCACUCCACAUUCCAAAGUUUCUAUUUCUUUCCAUUCCAGAAGGGCAACUCCACAACAGGAGUGAGGGAGAGGACCUGGACUCCUCCUCAGAGUCCAAUAACACUCCUAACCCUGCUCCCCCAACCUGUGGACUUUUUAAAUCCAUGAAAAUAGAACCUGUCAAGCUACCACAAAAUAGCAUCAGAAGGCAGGAUCAGUCUUUCAUAGGCAUACAAUCUCUGUAAAUACUGAAAAAAGAUUAUUAAAAGCCUGCUAAGUUUUGUCUCCAGUGAAAUAGAUGCAGGCAAGUAUUUUGAUUGUUCUGAACACAUUAGAGAUGAGUGCUACACAGAACUAAGGUAAACUUUGUAAAUUCGUAUGUCAUAACACUUUGUUCCACAAAAAACUAUCUUAUUUUUUAUACUCCAUACUGAUACAGCCAAAUAAUGUGGCUCUUAUUUUCUAAAGAUGCCAGCAAUAUGUUUAAACAUGUCUUCAUUGUAGUAAAAGUAUCAUAUUUAUAAAAAAUACAUAUGCAUUUAAUGUGAUAUUCCUUAUAGUCAAAAUCUUGAUAUCAUCCUGUUAAUCUGGCUAAAAAUGUAUCUGUAAAAUGAAAGAGAGGAAUAUUUUGCCAUUCCCUAAACAACAGUUGUUUGAAGCUUUUGUAAUUGCUGGUUAUGGGAAUUUACCAAUAACAGGAAUGAAUUUGGAUUUUCUUUUGCUGGAAUCAAAUGGACAAUGUCAUAAUUAGCUAAAUAAUGUUGAGGCUAAAUGAAGUUUGAGUUUUAGGCACAUCCUUUAUGGAAUAUAAACAGGAACCUAAAAGUUCAUUCUGAACAUAGGUUGUUUCUUUCUGCCAAAACAAGAUUAAUAGUCAGUACCCUAACGACAAGGUCCUAUCACUGAAGUAGAUUAUCGGCUAGUCAAAUGGGUUCCUAACAGCACCUCCCUCAUGGGUUAAAACAAGAGGGUUAAUGUGAUGUGUAUUUGCUUAAUUUGGCUUGUUAUACAGUAAACACACAGCAAACGUUAGCUAUUGUUAUCUUCAUUUCCUUUGGAGAAGUUAUCUUAUUUCUCACCUUAUUAAAAAUAAACCCUAACUCAUACAGGGACCCUCCUUACCUUGGUCCUUUCACCCAUGAAUACCAUAAUAACCUAUACUGCAAAAAGGAGGCUCAGGAGGAGGAUGAGGUAUCAAUAGGCCUCCGGGUCAUUUUUAUGAUUUAGGUAUUUUUUGAAAAGGGUAGGCUCUCUUGAAACUUCCAAGGUAGUUGUUGUAGUAUUUUAUUUUCCUUUCAUAAGAAAUGCUUUCUGAAAUGUAUUGCAGUGAACAAAUAACAAAAUUGACAAAUGCUGUAAGCCUUUUACAGUUAUCUGAACACACAGAAUAAAGUGUAAUCAAAUUUGUGCACAUUAGGUUUGCUUUUUCCUGUACCUAGCUGUCUCUUAUGUGUUCAGAACCAUUUCUUCCAAUCACCUUUUUUUGUCUUCUGGCUAUAAUUUAUCAUUAUCUACAAAUUCAAUAAAUGGAGCAUGCAUAUUUCAUAGUUGAGAUUCAAUAAUUCAGGACAACAGUACUAGAAAAGAAAAAAUACCCAACAAAAUAUUAAGCCUCAUAUAUUUUUGUUUAUAAAUCUAAGCAUCAUUUCCAACUCAGAAAUAUGUUUUUAAAGUAUCCCUUUAAAAUACAUACUUGAAGCUGUCUAAUUACACAAAGCUAGAUACUUGGCUACUCAGAUUUGAGGGAGGGGUUGUACAGGUUGGAGGGAAUUUACAAAAUUAAAAUGUAUCUUUUUAAAACCAAAAGAAACAUAUACAUUCAUUUCUAAUCCACAGAGCCUACUUGCCUUUACAGUCUGCUGAUAAACACUGAUUUUUUAAACAUUGUAUAUAAAAUUAAAUAACAUGAAAAAAUAAAUAUGCUUUAUUAUAUAACACAUAGAAAUCUGUACUGCUCAAAAUAUUCAGAAAAUUCUAGGUGUGGCUGCUUAAAACUGUGUUUAGAAAAUAUGGUAGUGAUAUUUACAAUCUUUAUUUCUUCUAGGGAGAGAAGCAGUGAGGUUAUAAAAUACUGGUAUCAAACAUUUUCUCUUCCUACCUACAGAAGCUGCAAACUUUAAUACGAAAAUGAGGUAGACAAAAAUUC
rnacentral:lncRNA from 1 species